rnacentral:rRNA from 1 species
UACGUAGGGUGCAAGCGUUGUCCGGAUUUAUUGGGCGUAAAGAGCUCGUAGGCGGUUUGGCAAGUCGGGUGUGAAACCUCCAGGCUCAACCUGGAGACGCCACUCGAUACUGCUAUGACUUGAGUCUGGUAGGGGAUCACGGAAUUCCUGGUGUAGCGGUGAAAUGCAUAGAUAUCAGGAGGAACACCGGUGGCGAAGGCGGUGAUCUGGGCCAGUACUGACGCUGAGGAGCGAAAGCGUGGGGAGCGAACAGG